GCUUUCGUGGUGUAGUGGUCAGCACACUCGACGCGUAACCGAGAGACCCUGGUUCGAUUCCCGGCGAAGCCG
rnacentral:tRNA from 1 species